UACGUAGGGUGCAAGCGUUAAUCGGAAUUACUGGGCGUAAAGCGUGCGCAGGCGGUUGUGCAAGUCAGAGGUGAAAUCCCCGGGCUUAACCUGGGAAUGGCCUUUGUGACUGCACGGCUAGAGUGUGUUAGAGGGGGGUAGAAUUCCACGUGUAGCAGUGAAAUGCGUAGAGAUGUGGAGGAAUACCGAUGGCGAAGGCAGCCCCCUGGGCCAACACUGACGCUCAGGCACGAAAGCGUGGGGAGCAAACAGG
rnacentral:rRNA from 1 species